UACGGAGGAUCUAAGCGUUAUCCGGAUUCAUUGGGUUUAAAGGGUGCGUAGGCGGAUUUGUAAGUCAGUGGUGAAAGCCAACAGCUUAACUGUUGAACUGCCAUUGAUACUGCAAGUCUUGAGUACAUUUGAUGUGGGCGGAAUGUGUCAUGUAGCGGUGAAAUGCUUAGAUAUGACACAGAACACCGAUUGCGAAGGCAGCUCACAAAACUGUAACUGACGCUGAGGCACGACAGCGUGGGGAUCAAACAGG
rnacentral:rRNA from 1 species